UGAUUUUUGGAAAUAGCCAGAAGUGGUUUCAAGUCACAUCAGGUGAUUGAGCCACCAAAUUCCCGCCUUAGCUGCAGGACGGACCCCAACCAAGAGCAGCCGCUAAGAUGGCCGGGGAGUGAGAAAAGCCUCAUUUCUUUAAUAAAGCUGCUGCGCUCAGCCUUGAACACCCUCCCGACCUUGGGGCUCUGCUGCCCCACGCGGAGCCCCCAUUUCAACAGAUGCAGACACCCCAAAGCCCCUUCCCAACAGCCCGAAGAGAAGCCCUCCUCUGAAGAGACAGCAGAGAAGCAGAGCCCCCUGGGACGCCCCCCAAGACCUCCACGUCUCCCCAGCACCCGGCGGGGGGGUGGUGCAUGCACUUCCCGUGGCUGCGGGAACAAACUGCCACACACAGGGAGGCUGAACACAGCAGAAGUCUAUUCCACACAGUCCUAGAAGCCAGAGGCAGUGACAUCAAGGUGCUGGACGGCCGCCCUCCCAUCGGAGGCUCUGGGAAGAAUCUGUUCCUUCCUCUUCCAGCUUCCACGACUCAGGGCAGCACCCCUGUAACCUCUGCCUCCAUGGUGAUAUCGCUUCCCCUCUUCUGUGUCAAAUGUCCCCCUGCGUCCCUCUUCACCAGAAUAAUCC
rnacentral:lncRNA from 10 species